rnacentral:tRNA from 1 species
ACCUGGCUGGCUCAGUCAGUAGAGCAUGUGACUCUUAAUCUCAGGGUCAUGAGUUCAAACCCCACACUGGGUG